CUGAAGAUAGACCAGAUGUUGUGU
rnacentral:siRNA from 1 species